CCGCGGGAACGCUUUUUUAAAACAAAGCUUUUGAAGUUCUUAGCGUUUAAAAACCUCAAGGUUGAUUUAUAUGAAAAAGUGUUUUUAAAAAACGUCCAGGUGGAAAUGGUAUAAGCUCUGCAUUGUGCAAAAAAGUUAAACACUUGAUUUUCGCUAUUUAAACUACAGGUUUCCCUUAUUUAAACUGUUUUUUUCAAAACAAAAACCUAAAGUUAGUAUUGAACUAAAGCUCACGAACAUGGACUUGAGUGUUAGUAUUAACAAUAGUCCUGAAAAAAUGGUUACUCCAUCAUAACUCAAGAAAGGUAGAGAUUCUGCUGUUAUACCUGCCUAUUGCUGUUAAAAUUGUCUUGGAUAUAUCGUUAGUAUACCAUUCAUGACAAUGUUCUGCUAAUAGUUAUUUUUACACAUAAUAUAAUCUAAAUCAUCAAGUUGCAUAAAUGACAAAU